AACAAAUACAAACAAACAAAACACACGUACAUAACACCAAUAACGUUCUUCAGCUGAGAUGAUAACAGUUUGCAUGUAUUUUCUAUGCAGAAGUAUAAAUAAGUCCCACAUUUAGAAAAAAAUAUACACGGAUACAAAAAAAAACCCAUGCAAAUAUAAACUUGCAAAAAUGUACAAAUAUAUUAAACAAAACACUGUAAUUUAAUGCACAUGCAUUUGUACCUUAAAUAUAAAAUAUUCUAUUCAAUAUUUUAAAUAUUCUGCAUAUAUGCACAAAUGCAAUUUCUUCAUCAGUAAAAAAAAAAUACUGUAGUAGGCUUUGUAUUUGCAAUCCAUUUCAGUAAGAAUAUGUAGGACAGGAUCAAAAAAAUUAAAAAACGGUCGCAUUGAAAAUAAACAAGCGUUAUCGAUGAAAUCUCGCGAGACUGGACGAGCAAAACGCGGAAAUGGUCUGCGAUUGUCUCGGCUGCGAUAUUAAAAUUGAAACUAGAUACAGUAGCGCUUUAUUACAUACAGAGACGACGAUAUUUUUCUUCAGUUGAAUUACGUAACGCGAGAUUCACCUUAUGUGUUGGUUUUGUUGAGCCGCUUAGGUGGAUGAAAACGGCUGCAACGGAUAUUUUUAAAUUAUAAAAAAUGUGGAUAGAGAUCUGUGCGCGUUUAGUAACUGCCGAGGACAGAAGAGGCGGACAAGGCGUUGAACGCGGGCAGACAACAAAUUAAGGCCAUGAUCAUCGAAGUUGAGUGAAGACUGGACACGAAGAAACAAAGGCAUUAAUUAGAGUUAUAAAAAAAAAACACUAUAAAAACUCCACAAAUCUCGUAAUUGUCUAAUAUAAAUGUUUAAAAAAAACGCAUCCAAAAAAUUGCAUUGGCCUCGAUGGACAUUUUACACGCAAACGCUUCCCGUUUAAAUCACAUAUAGUAAGUAAAGGAUAAAUAGACUCAAAAAUAUAUUAAUGAGGAAUUUCAUAUAUCCAAAGUGUUUUGUCUGUGUGUGUAUUAUUUGUGGCCAAUGCACGGAAAGAUUAAUUGAGUUUACAGUUGGUGUACACCGAUGUAGUAGUGCUUUCUAUUGUUGUGUUAAAGUAAAAUAAAGAGUAUUCUAUAAACUCUG